CUAGCCUCACUGCAUCCACCUUAUCCCUGAUGGAUUCAUCCAAUUACCACAUCGGAUUCUUGACGAGAAGAGUCCUACUCUUUAUGAUGAUAUAAGGGCUAAAAUCUGCUUGUCUAAUGUGUAUCUGAUGUGUUUCUACCUGUCCUUUUGGCUUGGUCUCAGGAGUGCAGGUAUACAAUGUUCAAGUAUGAUAAAUUUGAGCACUACUCACCAUUCAAUGUCUACCCCGA
rnacentral:lncRNA from 1 species